AGAGUUUGAUCAUGGCUCAGAACGAACGCUGGCGGCGUGGAUUAGGCAUGCAAGUCGAACGAGAAAGAUUCUUUCGGGAAUUGAGUAAAGUGGCAAACGGGUGAGUAGCGCGUGGGAAACCUGCCUUUCAGUUGGGGAUAACACUUCUAACGAAGUGCUAAUACCGAAUACGAUCUUUCCAUCGCAUGAUGGAUUGAUGAAAGAUGGCCUCUGUUUUAAGCUGUCACUGAUAGAUGGUCCCGCGUCCCAUUAGCUUGUUGGUGAGGUAAAGGCUCACCAAGGCGAUGAUGGGUGGCCGGCCUCAGCGGGCGAUCGGCCACACUGGGACUGAGAUACGGCCCAGACUCCUACGGGAGGCAGCAGUCGAGAGGCAUCCACAAUGGGGGAAACCCUGAUGGUGCGACGCCGCGUGGGUGAUGAAGGUUUUCGGAUCGUAAAACCCUUUCAGCAAGGGCGAAGAUGUUGGGUGUUAAUAGCGCCCGACAUUAGACGGUACUUGCAGAAGAAGCUCCGGCUAACUCCGUGCCAGCAGCCGCGGUAAGACGGGGGGAGCAAGCGUUGUUCGGAUUUACUGGGCGUAAAGGGCGUCUAGGCGGACCAGCAAGUCAGGUGUGAAAUCCCACGGCUCAACCGUGGAACUGCACUUGAAACUGUUGGUCUUGAGUACGGAAGAGGAAAGCGGAAUUCCUGGUGUAGCGGUGAAAUGCGUAGAUAUCAGGAAGAACACCGGUGGCGAAGGCGGCUUUCUGGUCCGAUACUGACGCUAAAGCGCGAAAGUGUGGGGAGCAAACAGGAUUAGAUACCCUGGUAGUCCACACUGUAAACGAUGGAUACUAGGUGUUGGGGAACCGACCUCCCCGGUGCCGAAGCUAACGCAUUAAGUAUCCCGCCUGGGGAGUACGGUCGCAAGGUUGAAACUCAAA
rnacentral:rRNA from 1 species